GCGUCCUGCAGGUUUUCGCCGGUCAGGAUGACCUGGCGGCGGACCAGGAUGGGACGGCCGUCGCGGUCGUUGUAGCGUUCGAGGCCGAACGGGACGCU
rnacentral:tRNA from 1 species